GCUUGGCUGGCUGAGCCAGUAAGGUGUGUGACUCCUGAUCUCAAGGUUGUGGGUGUGAGUCCCACACUGGGUG
rnacentral:tRNA from 1 species